rnacentral:rRNA from 1 species
AGUGAACGCUGGCGGUAGGCCUAGCACAUGCAAGUCGAACGGCAGCACAGUAAGAGCUUGCUCUUACGGGUGGCGAGUGGCGGACGGGUGAGGAAUACAUCGGAAUCUACUUUUUCGUGGGGGAUAACGUAGGGAAACUUACGCUAAUACCGCAUACGACCUACGGGUGAAAGCAGGGGAUCUUCGGACCUUGCGCGAUUGAAUGAGCCGAUGUCGGAUUAGCUAGUUGGCGGGGUAAAGGCCCACCAAGGCGACGAUCCGUAGCUGGUCUGAGAGGAUGAUCAGCCACACUGGAACUGAGACACGGUCCAGACUCCUACGGGAGGCAGCAGUGGGGAAUAUUGGACAAUGGGCGCAAGCCUGAUCCAGCCAUACCGCGUGGGUGAAGAAGGCCUUCGGGAUGUAAAGCCCUUUUGUUGGGAAAGAAAAGCAGCAGGUUAAUACCCCGCUGUUCUGACGGUACCCAAAGAAUAAGCACCGGCUAACUUCGUG